rnacentral:rRNA from 1 species
AUUGAACGCUGGCGGCAGGCUUAACACAUGCAAGUCGAGCGAGCGGCGGACGGGUGAGAAAUGUCGGGGAAAGUGCCUGAGGGAGGGGGAUAACUACUGGAAACGAGAGCUAAUACCGCAUAACAUCAGAUACGCCUAUAUGGGAUUAGAUAGUAGGUGGGGUAAUGGCUCACCGAGGCGACUAUCCCUAGCUGGUCUGAGAGGAUGACCAGCCACACUGGAACUUGGACACGGUCCAGACUCCUACGGGAGGCAGCAGUGGGGAAUAUUGCACAAUGGGCGCAAGCCUGAUGCAGCCAUGCCGCGUGUGUGAAGAAGGCCUUCCGGUUGUAAAGCACUUUCAGCGAGGAGGCGUUACUCGCAGAAGAAGCACCGGCUAACUCCGUGCCAGCAGCCGCGGUAAUAC